rfam:Populus trichocarpa scaffold_12_contig_142, whole genome shotgun sequence.
UCUAAAACUCGAGAUAUGGGUUGAACACUGAAUAGUGUCUGAGCUACAGGACAGAUUCGGACUUCUCCGUUGUUACUACAAUUUGGACUUGAAAACGGCCUUUUAAAUCUUGGACUCCCACGAAAGUUUUAGGCCUAUGUCUUAGCUUUCCAUC